UAUCCGUUCUCUUGCCUAUCUC
rnacentral:siRNA from 1 species